GGAUAGCUCAAUUGGUAGAGCAUGAGACUUACCGUAUUUUUUGCUCUAUAAGACUCACUUUUCCCCUCCUAAAAAGUAAGGGGAAAUGUGUGUGCGUCUUAUGGAGCGAAUGCAGGCCGCGCAGCUAUCCCAGAAGCCAGAACAGCAAGAGGGAUUGCUGCUUUCACUGCGCAGCGAUCCUUCUUGCUGUUCUGGCUUCUGAGAUUCAGAAUAUUUUUUUUCUUUCUUGUUUUCUUCCUCCAAAAACUAGGUGCGUCUUGUGGUCUGGUGCGUCUUAUAGAGCGAAAAAUACGGUAAUCUCAGGAUUGUGGGUUCAAGUCCCAUGUUGGGCA